ACCUCGUUGAAGAGUUCCAAAUAGGACGAAACACGCGUCCUGGAU
rnacentral:hammerhead_ribozyme from 1 species